rnacentral:lncRNA from 1 species
GUAUUUUCGUAAAUAAUUUAAAUUUAGUAUUAUUUUAAUAAUUAUUUUAAAAUUAAUUUUAAAUAAUUAAAAAAUUCGUAUUCAAUGGGCAUCCCAUCUGGAAGCACCGACCAGGCGAAUAAAGGACAUUUAAUAGGAUUGCUCUUUCUGCAGCCCCGAACACGGACAACUGAAUUAUUUCCUAUCAUUCCCCUCACAUGCAUCCAACCACGUCACCUAAAACGGAUAAGAACAGCGGAUA